AGUGAACGCUGGCGGUAGGCCUAACACAUGCAAGUCGAACGGCAGCACAGUAAGAGCUUGCUCUUACGGGUGGCGAGUGGCGGACGGGUGAGGAAUACAUCGGAAUCUACUUUUUCGUGGGGGAUAACGUAGGGAAACUUACGCUAAUACCGCAUACGACCUACGGGUGAAAGCAGGGGAUCUUCGGACCUUGCGCGAUUGAAUGAGCCUAUGUCGGUUUAGCUAGUUGGCGGGGUAAAGGCCCACCAAGGCGACGAUCCGUAGCUGGUCUGAGAGGAUGAUCAGCCACACUGGAACUGAGACACGGUACAGACUCCUACGGGAGGCAGCAGUGGGGAAUAUUGGACGAUGGGCGCAAGCCUGAUCCAGCCAUACCGCGUGGGUGAAGAAGGCCUUCGGGUUGUAAAGCCCUUUUGUUGGGAAAGAAAAGCAGCAGGUUAAUACCCCGCUGUUCUGACGGUACCCAAAGAAUAAGCACCGGCUAACUUCGUG
rnacentral:rRNA from 1 species